rnacentral:rRNA from 1 species
AGAGUUUGAUCCUGGCUCAGAACGAACGUUGGCGGUGUGGAUUAGGCAUGCAAGUCGAACGAAUGCUGUCUGUGUAGCAAUACAUGGGCAGAGGAAGUGGCGAAAGGGGCAGUAAUGCGUGGGUAACCUACCUUGGGGUUGGGCAUAGCCGUUCUAACGAGCGGGUAAUUCCCAGAGAUUCAGCGGGGCGGCAUCGUCCUGCUGGGAAAGAAUUUCGCCUCGAGAGGGGCCCACGUGCUAUUAGCUAGUUGGUGAGGUAACGGCUCACCAAGGCUAAAAUGGCUAGCGGGGUGUGAGAGCACGACCCGCGGCACUGGGACUGGAACAACUGGGCAAACACCCUCCGGUGGCCGGAAUCCAAGGACUUUCUUCAUGGGGCCCAGGCUGAACGAACGACACCCCCGUGGGCGAAGAAAGCCCUUCCGGGUGGAAAGCGCCAAAGUGGAGAAAAAGGGAAACUUUGAUCAAUCCCCAGUAAGGACGGGCUAAGUUCCUGGGCAACCACCCCCGGUAGAAGAACUGGCCUAAAGUUGUUCGGGAAACACUGGGCUUUAAAGGCGCGUAACGGCCCCACAACCCGGGGGAACUUGCACUCACCUGUGAAAUGCUUUGUACUGGCGGCUUAGGAAAUAAGGUGUGCGGAACUUCCCUGGAGCGUGAAAUGCGUUGAUAUUGUAAGGAAGCCCCAGCGCAAAGCGCGCAUGGAGUUCUCUUCACGCUCAGGCGCAAGCUAUGGAGCAACGGAUAAUAUACCCCCUGUUAGCUCCAGCUCUUAACGAAGGAGUUACUAGAUGGUAGACUUUCCAUGGGCUUCACAGCUCGAAGCAAAAGUUUUAAGUACUUCYSCCUUGGGGAGUAUGUUCGCAAGGGCUGAAACUCAAGAGAAAUUGGCGGGGGGCUCCCCCCAAGCGGGGGAGCAUGGGGUUUAUUUGGAGUUUACGGGAAGACCUUUUUCCUGGACUUACCAUGUGCGAAAGCUUCUGGGGGUAGUUUCCCGGAAAACGGGGAGAGGAAGGUAUCCAUUCUUGACCCAGAUCCAGGUGCUGCCAUGGCUGUCGUCAGCUCGGUUCGUGGAGAUGUCGGGUAAAGUCCCCAUAACGAGGCGAAACCUUGUUUCCAGUUGCCAGCGAGUAAUGUCGGGGACUCUGGAAAGACUGCCGGUGUUAAACCGGAGGAAGGUGGGGAUGACGUCAAGUCCUCAUGGCCUUUAUGCCCAGGGCUGCACACGUGCUACAAUGCAACGAACAAAGGGAAGCCAACCCGCGAGGGGGAGCCAAUCCCAAAAAACGUUGCCCAGUUCAGAUCGAAGGCUGCAACUCGCCUUCGUGAAGUUGGAAUCGCUAGUAAUCGCGGGUCAGCAACACCGCGGUGAAUGUGUUCCUGAGCCUUGUACACACCGCCCGUCAAGCCACGAAAGAGAGGAGCGCCCGAAGUCGCGUCAAAGUGCCGAAGGCGAAACUCUUGAUUGGGACUAAGUCGUAACAAGGUAACC